rnacentral:rRNA from 1 species
CUUCCGUAGGUGAACCUGCGGAAGGAUCAUUAGUGAAUCUAUGGUUGUGGAUUCGUCCCAACCUAUUCUUCUUUUGAUACACCUGUGCACCGGUAGAGGUUGUCGCUUGUCGAUGGCCCUACCAACUUCAUACCAAACACAUUUCUGUUUUGAACGUAACAUCUUAUAAUAAAAGAUAACUUUUGACAACGGAUCUCUUGGUUCUCCCAUCGAUGAAGAACGCAGCGAAAUGCGAUAAGUAAUGUGAAUUGCAGAAUUCAGUGAAUCAUCGAAUCUUUGAACGCACCUUGCGCUCCUUGGUAUUCCGAGGAGCAUGCCUGUUUGAGUGUCAUGAAACUCUCCAAUUCUAUCGUUUUUUCUAUAGAAUCUGGGUCCUUGGGUUUGCAUGGGUACCCCAUGCUUACCUUAAAUGUAUUAGCUGAAUACCAGCAGGGUUGUUAAGUUUUUUUCACCCUCGGAAGAAGGUAUUUGCUUCCAAUCUGCGCUGUCUUUUGUCGACAGGCAUUUUGUAUCUUCGGCCUCAAAUCAGGUAGGAUUACCCGCUGAACUUAAGCAUAUCAAUAAGCGGAGGAAGGAA